rnacentral:rRNA from 1 species
GACGAACGCUGGCGGCGUGCUUAACACAUGCAAGUCGAACGGAAAGGCCCUGCUUGCAGGGUACUCGAGUGGCGAACGGGUGAGUAACACGUGGGUGAUCUGCCCUGCACUUCGGGAUAAGCUUGGGAAACUGGGUCUAAUACCGGAUAUGAGCCAUCUUUAGUGUGGUGGUUGGAAAGUUUUUUCGGUGUAGGAUGAGCUCGCGGCCUAUCAGCUUGUUGGUGGGGUAAUGGCCUACCAAGGCGGCGACGGGUAGACGGCCUGAGAGGGUGUACGGCCACAUUGGGACUGAGAUACGGCCCAGACUCCUACGGGAGGCAGCAGUGGGGAAUAUUGCACAAUGGGCGCAAGCCUGAUGCAGCGAAGCCGCGUGGGGGAUGAAGGCCUUCGGGUUGUAAACUCCGUUCGCUAGGGACGAAGCUUUUUUGUGACGGUACCUAGAUAAGAAGCACCGGCUAACUACGUG